GGGACUGAAGUGGCUUCUACGUAUUAAUAUUUUUUAUAAUCUAUGUUUGAUUUUUCCUGCUACUGCAGAAAUAAUUUAAUUGUUAAUUAAGCGCAAAAAAUAAUAUCUUGUGUUUUUCUAGAAAAAAAGUUUUAGCUUAAACUUUUAGAAUACUACUUUAUUUAUUUAAUAAAUACUGUGGUAUGUAUAUUUAAAUGCUCUUAUUUAAAUGAUAUGUUUUCAUUUUAUUAAGUUAAGUAAUAAAAAAUAUUAUAGUUUAUAUUUUUAGCUAUAAAAAAUCAACAUUUUCUUUAUAUUUUUUAAGGUUUAGUAUAAAAUAUUAGUAUGGACGUGGGUUCAAUUCCCGCCAGUUCCA
rnacentral:tmRNA from 1 species